AUUGAACGCUGGCGGCAUGAUUUACACAUGCAAGUCGAACGGUAACAGGCCGCAAGGUGCUGACGAGUGGCGAACGGGUGAGUAAUGCAUCGGAACGUGCCCAGUCGUGGGGGAUAACUACUCGAAAGAGUAGCUAGUACCGCAUACGAUCUAUGGAUGAAAGCGGGGGACCGUAAGGCCUCGCGCGAUUGGAGCGGCCGAUGUCAGAUUAGGUAGUUGGUGGGGUAAAGGCUCACCAAGCCAACGAUCUGUAGCUGGUCUGAGAGGACGACCAGCCACACUGGGACUGAGACACGGCCCAGACUCCUACGGGAGGCAGCAGUGGGGAAUUUUGGACAAUGGGCGCAAGCCUGAUCCAGCAAUGCCGCGUGCAGGAAGAAGGCCUUCGGGUUGUAAACUGCUUUUGUACGGAACGAAACGGCUCUGGUUAAUACCCGGGGCUAAUGACGGUACCGGAAGAAUAAGCACCGGCUAACUACGUG
rnacentral:rRNA from 1 species